rnacentral:rRNA from 1 species
UUCAGCGGCGGACGGGUGAGUAAUGCCUAGGAAUCUGCCCGAUAGUGGGGGACAACGUUUCGAAAGGAGCGCUAAUACCGCAUACGUCCUACGGGAGAAAGUGGGGGAUCUUCGGACCUCACGCUAUCGGAUGAGCCUAGGUCGGAUUAGCUAUUUGGUGAGGUAAUGGCUCACCAAGGCGACGAUCCGUAACUGGUCUGAGAGGAUGAUCAGUCACACUGGAACUGAGACACGGUCCAGACUCCUACGGGAGGCAGCAGUGGGGAAUAUUGGACAAUGGGCGAAAGCCUGAUCCAGCCAUGCCGCGUGUGUGAAGAAGGUCUUCGGAUUGUAAAGCACUUUAAGUUGGGAGGAAGGGCUGUCGGCUAAUACCCUGCAGUUUUGACGUUACCAACAGAAUAAGCACCGGCUAACUUCGUGCCAGCAGCCGCGGUAAUACGAAGGGUGCAAGCGUUAAUCGGAAUUACUGGGCGUAAAGCGCGCGUAGGUGGUUCAGCAAGUUGGAUGUGAAAGCCCCGGGCUCAACCUGGGAACUGCAUCCAAAACUACUGAGCUAGAGUACGGUAGAGGGUGGUGGAAUUUCCUGUGUAGCGGUGAAAUGCGUAGAUAUAGGAAGGAACACCAGUGGCGAAGGCGACCACCUGGACUGAUACUGACACUGAGGUGCGAAAGCGUGGGGAGCAAACAGGAUUAGAUACCCUGGUAGUCCACGCCGUAAACGAUGUCAACUAGUUGUUGGGUUCCUUGAGGACUUAGUAACGAAGCUAACGCGAUAAGUUGACCGCCUGGGGAGUACGGCCGCAAGGUUAAAACUCAAAUGAAUUGACGGGGGCCCGCACAAGCGGUGGAGCAUGUGGUU